UAUAUGUGUUAAAUAAUGACACUGCACUUGCAACAGAGACUGCGCCUUUUAAUACGAUGCACCCUAUGGUCACGAAAAUACGGUAAUCACAUAAAAGCAAAUCAUAUAUUGUCCUAUUAUGGCUAGACAAAGAAAGCUUUUCGUCGAUUGGCUUUUUUUAUAUAAACAUACUAGACAUUCCGGUUCCAGAGUGAUUUUACGAAGACAAUAUGAGCCUUUUAUCAUGAAUCAACAGCCAGACAGACAGAGUUGUGAUUGGUGCAGAUUUAAAUGGACAUGUUGGCGAAGGAAACAGGGGCGAUGAAGAAAUGAUGGGUAAGUACAGCAUUCAGCAAAGUAACUUUGAGGGGCAGUGGACUUCGCAAAAUGGAUGGAAUUGGCAGUGAUGAACACUUAUUUCCAGAAGAGACAGGAACAUAGAGUGACCUACACAUGGAUGAGAAUGACCAAUUUCGGAAAAACAUUGAAAAUGUCUGCCUUCAGGGCUAGGUUCAAAGGGGGGAGCACAUACACACACACAUACAUACACACACACACACACACAUACACACACACACACACACAUAUAUACAUAUACUGAAGUGUGUCUUCUGCUCUUUGUUUGUAUAACUCAUGUUUGAAGCAUGCCGACUCAUCAGAUUACCUUAAGUGUAUCUUGCUGAAAUGUUUACUAGAGACCAGGACGUAGGAAUAUGCCCGUUUUUACCAGAUAGAUUUGGUUUAGUCAUUAUGAUUGCCGAUAUUUUGUGAUGCUCUUUGCUUUAUGAUGCAAUUCUCAUGUGAUGCUCUUUGUUUUCCUUUCAUACUUUUGUGAUGCGGACCCUUCUGAUAGUAUAAGAAUGCUGCAAGUCCUUUGUAUCUUCGCACUUCUGAUCUGCUACAGCCAUUGUCUGUCACUCAUUUGUGCCCAGAAUAUUCUGUAAGUAAAAGCUUCGAAGAAACUGUUCAUCAUCUCCAGCCUCUAUUUGGAUAACCAAAUUUCUCACUACCCGAAACUAAACGAACACGCGGGGAGGAAAAAAAGCAUCCUCCAACAAUUGGGACCCCGACGUGAUUUCGGACUGAGGUGUUUGUUGACAGACAGAACAUCGGCCGGCCAACAAUUGACAAGGUGAGAGGACAUUUAUCCUCCAAAAGUGAUCUUCUGUUUGUUAACUGGUGUUGAGGUCCGUGUCACGUUUGAAUUUGUGUCAGUGUGAAAUUAAUUUCUGGCUGGUUGAACAGUGGGGAAACUGUGGGUGGUAUAGUCCUGGGUUAGAGGCCCUGGCGCGUCCCACCUAAAUGGUUGAAAAGUUGUAGAGUGUGUGGGCGUACCACUCUAAAAAGGGUUUAGAAGUGCCCUGUGAUCAGAGGUUGUGCCGACACAAAAAGGUUGUAAAUCCCGUGACUGGCAGACAUACCAAUGGGUUGAAGCCAGGACAAAACUUUCUGAACCGAGAAGUUGUCUCGUUCUUUUCAGAGAAUCCUAGAGACUAGAAUUCCUCAUUCGAAAUCAAAGGACAAAGUGUGCACUAUAAAAAGAUGAGAUACCCGGAUGAACAGAAGUUGAGAAGAGAUACCCGGAUGAACAGUGAAUUGCGCAAUUGUUAUUUUAUUGUAGGAGAGGUUGUUUCGUUCUUUCAAGAAUCCUAGAAACUAGAAUUCCUCAAAUAAAAUGAGAUUUUAAGAGUACUUUUGAGAAAAAAAAAAAUCAAAGGUUUGACCACUUUUGACAAAAGACAAUUUGAAUCAAAAUGCAGGGAGAGUUUCAUAGGGAAAGUGAAUGGUUCGAUUUGCGGCAAAUACUAAACUAUUCUGAACAAUGUAUGUUAUGUCUGUUUUGUCAUUUAUUUGUGUAAUAUGAAUUUAAUGAGUAUUUGUUUUCUUUUGAAUAUAGUUCUGAUAGCAUACGUGGCAUAUUGUGGCAUCAAGGCAUCAAAGCAUCCCUGAAAAAGAACGAGAGAAUGAGAAAGAACAAUUGAAAGAAUGGAUGAGGGAAAUGUGGUGAGAAUGGAUGGUUUCCUCCAAUGUCUUCAACUGUGUGUUUGGUCACAUUAAUGAGGGAAACGGAAAAAGCUUGUGCUAAAAGAGUGGCAAAUUGGAAGUGGAAAAAACUAACAGGUUGUCUCCAAAAGGAAAGGUGAGAGAGAAUGCUGAGAGAGUUGUGGAAAUGAAAGCGAGAGCAAGGAUGAUGGCGAUGGGAUGUGCGUUAAAGUUGUCCCGUUUGGCUGUAAAGGAAGCGAGUGUUGGUCUGGUACCUUCAACACCCAAAGUGCCCUCCGUGCCGCCUCCUUACUUGGAGGAGAAACAUCUUUUGGCGUUGUCUCCAAUGACCCAUGUGUACCACCUUACCAUGACGCCAGGAAAUUCCAGCCUCCAGUGUUGAAUGUAACUGCCGGUCAACUUGAAGUAGAUGUAGAUGAUCAAACGCCUCUCACUCACUCACAACAAACAUCAAACAUGAAUACGCUUGUAGUAACUCUGGCUGCUGGAGUGACCGCCGCCAUUAAAGAAUUAGAAGGAAAAUUGGACAAAGUUGUAAAUUUGAGAGCUGACCCAUUUACACGUUUGAAUCGGUUAGGAAUGUAUAAGGCGGAAUUAAAUAGACGCCAAGAGGUUCCACAAAAUAUUAGAGAUCAACUUGAGAGAAUCACCACUGAACAUGAAAACAGAGCGAACGCUUAAGUGGAGGAGCAGAAACGUGCCCUCCGCGCAGAACAAGAAGCAGCGCGACUGAAGAGAGACAGGAAUUUGCUGUCUACACUGGUAGAGGCCCUUCAAGUGGGGAAGUGGAAAACAGGUUUUACAUUGAUCAGUUACAGAACCAAAUAACAGAAUUAAAGUGUCAUGUCCAGAAUCUUUCAGGUUCCCACCACGACUCUGUUCUGGAUCAAACCGGAAGUCCUGAAGACCCCGAGAAAUCUUCCCAAGGUCCAGCUUCUCCUCAUCGGCCUGUGACGCGUUCCCGAAUCUUACAGGCUCCCAUGUUGGCCAAAGUUGAUCCGGCUACUGGUAACUCUGCUAUGUUUUACAAACCUUUCUCUCCCACUAAUGUGAGUGUGUUGAUACAGAAACUUCUACUUAUGCGAUCUGGUGGUGUAAAUUGGCUUCAAGCAGUGCAGAGAGCGGUUACGGGACAAAUGUUAACAGCGGGUGAUAUCCAUGUCCUUCUUACACAAUCAUGUCCACUUUCACAGUUGAAUACUCUGAUCCAAAAUUCAGGUUUUUCUUCUCUCCCCGAUCAUCAGGCUCUUACACGAGAAAAUUAUUUGACCUUGUCUACAGCACUGGACGCUUUGUUUCCACUUCCCGAGUGAGUUGUUCCCAAAGCAUUUGAGGAGGCUGCGGCUUUUGUUGACCGUGCCCUCAGAUUAUUCUCUGAAAACAGGACACGCUGCUACGGCCUCCGCCUUCCAUUCGCAAGUGUUCCGAGCAGCUAUUUUGAAGGGCGUUCCCAAGUCUGUGGCGCAGGCCAUGGAGGCCAAUCCAGACCUUCCUGGUGCUGAGGUUGACCGGUGGUUGUCACAUCUUAAACAUCAUUUGAGGAGAUAUGCUAAAGAGAAAGAAUCUAAGGAAGAAGCCACUCAUGCUGUGAUCUCAUCUCCCUCUGUCGGUUCCGAGUGCAUGAUGUAUCAAGCAAGUUCAUUCAUAGGUUGAGGUGCGUCCCCUGGUGGCCGUGACAUGUGCUUCAAUUGUGGACGGCCUGGUCAUUGGGCCCGCACUUGCAGACAGCGACCUCAAGUGUCCAGACGGAGAGGCGGAGGCCAACAACCUGCACGUGGCUACAAUCGACGAGGUUACAACCAAUCCCGAGAGGGAGGACAUCUUACACAGCACCAGCAGCAGCAACUGGGAUAUCCCUCAGUGCCAAACCAGCAGUAUCUACUGCCCUCUGGUGGACAGUUUCCGCAAUGAUGGUGCCCUGAAUUCACAUGUUUAGGCCUGCAGGAGCCUUUGAUGAUCCUGACGGUAGGAGGAUUAACUUUAUCAUUUAUGGUCGACACAGGAGCUCGGCAUUCUACUAUCACAGCCCUGCCACCUGAUACGUCUCUUACCAGGAAAACCAUCUCACUUGUUGGAUUCAAGGGUGAAGAAACUGCCCUGCAAUUGACCACUCCAGUGACUGUUCAAUGUUUUUCACAGACUUUUUUCCAUUCUUUUGUGUUUGCACCUAACUGUUCAGUCAAUCUUUUGGGCAGAGAUCUCCUCAUCGCCACGUGCCCUCUCAUCAAAUGCAGCCCUGAUGGACUUAUCCUGGAAUUUCCGGAUGGUAACACGUACUGCUGCUCUGCCGCCUCUGCCUCCGGUGCCACCUCCCAGUUUCCGCUUGUUGAACAACGCCCUGUGGCAUGCGCCACUGCUGACAUCUAUUGGGCAAGAGUGGAUAUUGACUCCGGUGGUUGGCUCGAGGCUGAGCACUUUUGGACUCUCUGGUAACCUUGGGUCCGUAAUCUCAGAUCUUAUGAUAUGGUAACUGAUUGUAUGCAGUGCCCAGAAUAUUCUGUAAUUAAAAGCUUCAAAGAAACUGUU